rnacentral:lncRNA from 1 species
CCUGGUUCCAUCUAGAAGCUUGAUUGUUUAUCGUUGGGAGGUGGGGCCACUUUCAACAUAAGAUCAAAGCCCCACUUCCAAGGGGCUUUGAUCAUAAAGCAGCUUUAUGCUUGUACUGCUGCUGCCUCAUAUCAACUAUUACAGCUUUACUGGUCCAAACGUUUGAAAGUUGAACAACCUCGUUCCAAGAACAUAAAGAUCCGUCCACCUCAAGACUCUCACCAACUGAUCCGGUAUCCCAGGUUCCUCCAGCCGAGAUCAAGAUGAACAGAACUCUCUUCUACCUGCUCGCAGUCGGACUCUGCUGCGCCAUCGGGUGGUUUUGAUCCGAGCAGCCCCCCAGGUCCAGUCCCAGUUUAGGGCGAGGCCGUCCGGGUCCUCGCAGACGUUCCUAAAAAGCUCAGUCGUGUCUCAACCUGCCAGCUGCUCCAGGAAUUCCUCAGCCUGGAACAUAAAGUGGGCCCGGACACACAGCCCCGAACUAUUGUCCCGUUUCCUCUGUUAUGUGACCGAGGCGGCUCUGGUUCGGCCCACGCCCUUCUGACCGAUAUCCAGGAUGUCGUUGAUGACAAAUGUGACCUCGACAGAGGAAAAGUCUUUCAGGCUUCUUGUUUUUGAGGUUUUUCCAGACGAUAAUUACACGCUGAAGUACACAAAGAACAGGAAUCUUGUUGGGAUCUGACUAGAUCACACAGGUGAUCUAGUCACCAACCUCCGCAGGACAAAGCCUGACAAGCCAAUUCUUAUUGGGGAUUUUUAAUUAAUAAUUGCUAAAUUCUCUAACAUUCUUUCAAUCUCCCUUUUUCAUAAGAAAAAAAAAGGAUAGCAGGAAGUUUUCCAGGGAACUUGUCUGAUGAGAUUAAUAUUAGCAAUGAUUUUGAUUACGCUACGUUGCGUAAUUGAGUUGAGGCCUUUUGUAACCUGUGAAACGUGUCAGUAAAUGUCUUUAGUUUAGAUAAAAGCACCUUGUUGGAGUGAACAUGACAACAUCUGCACCAUUAAAAUGUUCUCACGCUUCUGCCGCUUGGCUGCACCUGCGGUGAACCGACACUAGAGGGCAGCAACGCUCAGCGCUUCCCGACCAACUGGCGCGACUCCCAGUGUCACGUGCUGGUUUACUGGUCAUUUGUGGUCAUUUGUGGUCAUUUGUGUGGUUAAGACGUUCACACCCGUUAGAACUG